CAGGUUUUGUUGGCCGACGGGUGAGUAUGCGUAGGAUCUACCUAGUAGUACGGAAUAGCCAUUAGAAAUGGUGGGUAAUACUGUAUAAUCCCCGAGGGGGAAAGAUUUAUCGCUAUUAGAUGAGCCUACGUUAGAUUAGCUAGUUGGUGAGGUAAUGGCUUACCAAGGCUAUGAUCUAUAGCUGGUCUGAGAGGACGAUCAGCCACACUGGAACUGAGAUACGGUCCAGACUCCUACGGGAGGCAGCAGUGGGGAAUAUUGGACAAUGGGCGAAAGCCUGAUCCAGCUAUGCCGCGUGAGUGAAGAAGGCCUUCGGGUUGUAAAACUCUUUCAAUAGGGAAGAUAAUGACGGUAACCUAUGAAAUUUUUUCCCCUAAUUGCCCUUAAUUUACCAAUUUAACUAAAAAAUUUAAUAAAUUUUUAAAUUACGGCCUUUGUUUUUUCCAAUCUUCCAAAUUUUUUCAAAAUUUUAAAUUUUUUUACUUAUUGUAGGGGGGGCAAAAAUUUUUCCAAAAUCAAUUUUUUUAAAAAUUUAAUUGAAAAAAAUUAACCUUUAUUGAAAUUUUACUACUUUUUAAUUCAACAUGUUAAACUUUAAAUUUUAAAAACUCAUAAAACUCUUAACCACAUUUUAAAUUUCUAAAAUGUAUUUUUAAACGGCUUAAUUUAACUCUAAAUUGAUAAAUUUAUUCAUUAUUUUAUAAUUUCACACACUUAAUUUGAACUCAUUUUUCACAUAAUUGUUAAAUUAAUAUACAUUUUUAAAAUUUUGCAACAUUUGUUCAAUCUUUUUAAAUUUUAAUUUUUUUCAAUUUUAUUACUUUAUCAGUUUUGUUUAAAAUCUGUCACUGAAUUGCAAUUGACAUGUUUACUUUUUUUUACACACUCAUCUUAUGGCGAUGCACCCUCUUUUGACAAUUUAAUUUGAUCGACUUUCUUUUUAUCAACUUUUCUGUGUUCAAAUUUUUGAAAUUUUGUGACCACAUUAUACGCAUGUCUGCCAUAUGUUGUGCUAUGCUGUAAACCCGAGGUUUGAUCGUAUGCCAUUGUUCUUAGCUCUGCAACUUGACAUUUUGUUUUUGCUGUAAAUUUUAGCCAUAUUUUGUGCCUACUUUAUUUUGUACAACCCACCGUGUUUGUGUUCACAACUUGUUAUCGUCUGUUGGCGGCACACUGCGUGCGGGUGACAAACUGCUGUGACACGUCUCGCAUGGUCACGUAUG
rnacentral:rRNA from 1 species